UCUUUGUUUGGGGUCCCUCUUUGGAGGCACCCAACUCGAGCUGUAACUACUGCAUGCGUGUCAUUCUGAACUUUUCAGCGGGAACCUAGGGUCGGACCCUGCUCGAGUUGUAAUUACUGCACGCGCAUCGCUAAAAUUUACACCCAGGGUGAAGAGGACAACGAGACGCCGCUGGAUCCACGGCUCUGUGGAAGUGCUGCUUUCUACACGACUAGACUGAGUCUGGACAGAUGGAAACACUGUGGGUGCUGAACAAGCAGCCUCUAUAGAGAAGCCAGCAGCGUGUGAAAGUUUGGGAAUUCCCUUCCCAAAUCACUCCAGCUCUGCUCCUGAUCUCUGCUCACAGCCCUGCCCGCUUGCAGUAGGAUCCCCAUCCGAUGGCAGAGAAACUCAGCAGCUCUACACAGACCUGGAGACGUGGCUUUACAUGGCUGUUACUAGAAGACGACUUGCAUAGGAACACAGUUCCUUCCUGACAGCAGCGUUUCUCCUUCGCCAGAAGAGCAGCUGUGGAGAUUUCUCAAGAUAAAUGCUGCUGCAGACAGCUGGAGACCAUCACCAGUCUUUGGCUGCGGUCAGAGGUGCAUGAUGAGGUUGCUGGGACACCUCAGGGAAGUGGAGAUAUGUUGCUGAGCAGACGCCUUGGGUUUCUACUCCUCUCCAGUGUAUACUGCUCAUACCACAAUUUUUGAUUUUCACAUCAAAGAUUUAGAGUCCUGUCCAGAUGAUACAGUGGAAGAGCCAUGGAGUAAGACAUCUCUGCUAAAUAAUUUGGUACGAGUUCUGGAUACAGACCACAUAAAGGGGGGAAAGAUCUGCCUUCAGCUGUAUCAGUACAUCUUGCGCUAACAGCUGUGCUUGCACAGCUGAAGACAGAAUGAGUCUAGGAGUUGUCCUAAAGGCAGGAAAGGCACAUUUAACUAAUUCCAACAAAAGUUUCUUAAAUUCAUUAACAACCAAAGCUCAGAGCCUACAGAUUUCUCAAAAGAUCAGUGCCGUCCUGCAGCCAAAGGUAACGAUGCAUUCCCAGCAGAGGAAGCAGCCGACUCUGCUAAGGUUGAGGCUGUUGCAUGCACAGUCUCAGGUUUCCUUGCCUCUUUUUAUUGCUGUCAUGGGACUCAUGUCUAAGGGACAUUUAAAGGGAAUGUAAAACCCUGAUGCACACCAGCAAGAAGAAAAUAUGCUGAAAGCAACAAACACUGCAAGCAACAAAGCUUGCAGUGACAAAAUGGCAUUGCUGGGGAAAUCGGGGCAAAAUUUAAACAACAGGAAUUCAUCUUUAGAGAGAUCUUGAGCGAUGCAGUGAGUUUAUUUCAAUGGCCUCUUAUAAGCACAGCAUGAAAGCCUCUUGCAUAGCAGCUUCAGUGCUUGUGAAUAGACUGGGAUGAUCCAGUCUUUCCAAAACUACCUGACUGAGAGUGUUAAGGCACAGACAUAAUCAUUCCAGAGGUUAGGAAGAGCUCUUUCCCAAUUCUGCCAUAUCUCACCAAAUGAAAAAUUUUUAUUACAAAAGAAUGACAAGUGUAGAACAGUUUCGGUUUUAAUUCAGUAAAUUCUCUGCUGCUGGUACUGGUAGGUAUUUCUUUGCCUCAUUGUGCAGGUGAGCCCCUGUAGAGGAGAAAAAGUGAAAGAUAAUUAUAUUUCAUGAUGACUUUUGACUUCUCAUGUCCUCUGUCAAUACUGCU